rnacentral:lncRNA from 1 species
UCUCUUCUCUCAAUUUGAUUAGUUUGCUAUUCUAUUCUCUUCUCUCAUCGAUAGGUAGAGAUCCUCUCUAUUUAUAGAUGAUUCUCAUGACCUAAUAAAAGGAGGACUCUUUAUUCAAAUCUGAUUUGAAUACUCAUGAAAGGACUCCUACAUGAGAUAUAAUUAUCAUCACUUAUGACAUCCACUUUCCACCCACUCCCACACCCACUUGGGA